rnacentral:rRNA from 1 species
UUGAUCCUGGCUCAGAAUCAACGCUGGCGGCGUGCCUAACACAUGCAAGUCGAACGAGAAAGUGGAGCAAUCCAUGAGUAAAGUGGCGACCGGGUGAGUUACACGUGACUAACCUACCUUCGAGUGGGGGAUAACAUCGGGAAACCGAUUCUAAUACCGCAUAACAUCGCAAGAUCAAAGCAGCAAUGCGCUGGAAGAGUGGGUCGCGGCUGAUUAGCUAGUUGGCGGGGUAACGGCCCACCAAGGCGAUGAUCGGUAGCCGGCCUGAGAGAGCGCACGGCCACACUGGAACUGAAACAUGGUCCAGACUCCUACGGGAGGCAGCAGUGGGGAAUUUUGCGCAAUGGGGUAAACCCUGACGCAGCAACGCCGCGUGGAGGAUGAAGCCCCUUGGGGUGUUAACUCCUUUCGACCAAGACGAUAAUGACGGUACUGGUGGAAGAAGCACCUGCUAACUCUGUGCCAGCAGCCGCGGUAAUU